rnacentral:rRNA from 1 species
GACGUAGGGCGCGAGCGUUGUCCGGAUUUAUUGGGCGUAAAGAGCUCGUAGGCGGCUCGUUGCGUCGGCUGUGAAAACCCGCAGCUCAACUGUGGGCUUGCAGCUGAUACGGGCGGGCUGGAGUUCGGUAGGGGAGACUGGAAUUCCUGGUGUAGCGGUGAAAUGCGCAGAUAUCAGGAGGAACACCGGUGGCGAAGGCGGGUCUCUGGGCCGAUACUGACGCUGAGGAGCGAAAGCUAGGGGAGCAAACAGG